AGUCAGGUUGCAGAAAGGACACUGCAGGCAGCAGGGUCAGAGGUGCAACAGGGAGACGAGCUGCCUCCUAGGCUGUAGAGUCUGCUUUUUGGUUACCAUGGGCAAUGGCCAUGUCUUCUUUUUGAUGUCCUUUGCAGUGAAUUACAGCCACCUGCUGGCAGUGCUUGGGCCUACAGUAUAUCCAUCUCUGUAGUGAUGGCAGCACCAGCCUUUUGAACUCCCUGCUCAAGGAAGCUGCUACCAUCUCUAAACACGGUGGCUUCUGCCUCCUUUAAAGAUACCUCUUGGAGAUCAGGUCGGCCAGAUUCCGUAGUCUCCAACGGUUCUUGGCAGUCAUGGACAGGUAUAGUAAGGUAGGACACUCUAAGAAGACAAAGCUGGGCCUUUUUGGCCGAGAUCCAAUACCUGAGCACCUGAAGGAGGUUUCUGGACCGGCAAAAAUGGAGUAUUCCAGGUGGAUUGACAUGGUAGGGAGGCAAUACAGGAGGAGCCAAGGGAGCUGAGGAUCCGGACAAAAGUGUGUGGUCUCGCUUAAAAUGACCUUGGAGGUAAGAUUAUGAAUGGCACAUGAGCGGAGCCAAGGGGGAGGGCUCCGGACCAAUCUCAGCCAUUGAUCAAUGUAGGGAAACGGAUCGGGGUGACCGGGAGUUCCAGCAACGACCCGCCACACAGCCUGAAGAGCUGUGAGAUUCAGUGACCCUUCUGGGGGCCACACGGUUCCAAACUGUGGUCAUUCUACUUCACAGAGUAUCUGGAGUUUGCCUUUUUUAAGGUGGACCCCAUAAUUCUCUGAGAAGCCUAGGGAGAAAUUUUGUAACAUACAUUGGAGAGGGCUCCAAUCUUUAUGAGGCUGGGAAGAAGAGUUUCCCAUUCUGGAGGCAAUUUAAAAAGGUUUCAGCAGAAAUAUUAAACCCAGCACAGACAGAGAAAUUCAAGACCUGGGGGGCUGCAGUAUCAGAAGAACAGAAGUAUUAUAACCAGAAGAAGAAGGAAAACAACCAUAGUCAACACUUCUUGCCACAUAAGGACGGUCUGUUUAAGCUUUGAGAUCUAGGGGGAGGACAAGAGGCAGGUCUGAGGCCAGUGGGACCUACGUGAUCCCCUCCUUUUUGUCCUAUAGCCUAAAUAUCUUUGGUGUCUCCAUGACUUGAAGGCAAAAAGUUCAAACUUGGCCUUU